UGGGGAAUAUUGCACAAUGGGGGAAACCCUGAUGCAGCGACGCCGCGUGAGCGAAGAAGGUUUUCGAAUCGUAAAGCUCUGUCCUAUGGGAAGAUAAUGACGGUACCAUAGGAGGAAGCCCCGGCUAACUACGUGCCAGCAGCCGCGGUAAUACGUAGGGGGCAAGCGUUGUCCGGAAUCACUGGGCGUAAAGGGUUCGUAGGCGGAAAUGCAAGUCAGUUGUGAAAGGCAGGGGCUCAACCUCUGUAAGCAAUUGAAACUGGAUUUCUUGAGAUGUGGAGAGGGAAGGGGAAUUCCUAGUGUAGCGGUGGAAUGCGUAGAUAUUAGGAAGAAUACCGGUGGCGAAGGCGACUUGCUGGACACAAACUGCCGCUGAGGAACGAAAGCGUGGGUAGCAAACAGG
rnacentral:rRNA from 1 species